rnacentral:rRNA from 1 species
ACGAACGCUGGCGGCGUGCCUAAUACAUGCAAGUUGAGCGCUGAAGGUUGGUACUUGUACCCACUGGAUGAGCAGCGAACGGGUGAGUAACGCGUGGGGAAUCUGCCUUUGAGCGGGGGACAACAUUUGGAAACGAAUGCUAAUACCGCAUAAAAACUUUAAACACAAGUUUUAAGUUUGAAAGAUGCAAUUGCAUCACUCAAAGAUGAUCCCGCGUUGUAUUAGCUAGUUGGUGAGGUAAAGGCUCACCAAGGCGAUGAUACAUAGCCGACCUGAGAGGGUGAUCGGCCACAUUGGGACUGAGACACGGCCCAAACUCCUACGGGAGGCAGCAGUAGGGAAUCUUCGGCAAUGGACGAAAGUCUGACCAAGCAACGCCGCGUGAGUGAAGAAGGUUUUCGGAUCGUAAAACUCUGUUGGUAGAGAAGAACGUUGGUGAGAGUGGAAAGCUCAUCAAGUGACGGUAACUACCCAGAAAGGGACGGCUAACUACGUG